UACGGAGGGGGCUAGCGUUGUUCGGAAUUACUGGGCGUAAAGCGCACGUAGGCGGCUUUUUAAGUCAGAGGUGAAAGCCCGGGGCUCAACCCCGGAAUUGCCUUUGAGACUGGAUCGCUUGAACGUCGGAGAGGUGAGUGGAAUUCCGAGUGUAGAGGUGAAAUUCGUAGAUAUUCGGAAGAACACCAGUGGCGAAGGCGGCUCACUGGACGACUGUUGACGCUGAGGUGCGAAAGCGUGGGGAGCAAACAGG
rnacentral:rRNA from 1 species